ACUGGAGCCUUACUGUCACCCGGAAGUCUGGGGAUUGGCCCUUCCCAAUCAGACCUCUUCCCUGCCCCUCACCAGAAAGAAACGGUCAGUUUUCAGCCCUGCUCACUCCCCUGGUAACGAUCGGUAUACACCCCUCCACAAUUUCCCCAGGACAUUUCUUCAGACAGCUCUGAAGCCGGAUAGGGUGGCUUUCUGACCAGCUGUAAACCACGUGGCUGCACAGAAUCUGUCCUGGGAUGAUCGGGACGUUCUGCUAUGAAAGGAGCAGUGACUCAAUAUUCACUAAUUCAGUAGUCACAGUGACGUUAUGGAGCAGAACUACCACCAAUGAAAAUCGACGGGACAUAUUGCCACCUCACUACCCAGACUAUUUUUUUCCUAAGAGAACCUCAGAUGGCUUUGUUUCACCUCUGCAGAUUUCAGGUGUAUCCCCUCUACAGCUGAAGCGCAUGACUGAAGGAAAGGAACCCUGGGUAGGUGGAACUCACCGCUAGAGGUGCCUCGGCGAAUCUCGCCUGGGAGGGGGCUGGGGCUGCAGGGCACGGACUCAGUGGCAGCUUUGCACAUGUCCUGUAAAAAUAUAAAUAAAUAAAAUAAUGGGACACCA